UUCAUAUACUUCCUUAUUAUUCAAGUAAAACUUUCCACAAGGGUUUUGCAGUGAUCCCAAGUCCCCAAGCUUUCAUUUGAUACAAAAACUACCCAAAUAGUUCCACUAUUGACAAAGAUACAGCUAUGCGUAGGAACUAUUUUGUUCAAAAUAUGUACUACUUUCUUGUAUGUUCUUUCUGACCGGGCAUGAAUUAGUGGUUCUAUACCU
rnacentral:lncRNA from 1 species